CCUACGGGUGGCAGCAGUGAGGAAUAUUGGUCAAUGGACGAGAUUCUGAACCAGCCAAGUAGCGUGAAGGAUGACUGCCCUAUGGGUUGUAAACUUCUUUUAUAUGGGAAUAAAAUGUUCCACGUGUGGGAUUUUGUAUGUACCAUAUGAAUAAGGAUCGGCUAACUCCGUGCCAGCAGCCGCGGUAAUACGGAGGAUCCGAGCGUUAUCCGGAUUUAUUGGGUUUAAAGGGUGCGUAGGUGGAUUGUUAAGUCAGUUGUGAAAGUUUGCGGCUCAACCGUAAAAUUGCAGUUGAAACUGGCAGUCUUGAGUACAGUAGAGGUGUGCGGAAUGCGUGGUGUAGCGGUGAAAUGCUUAGAUAUCACGAAGAACUCCGAUUGCGAAGGCAGUUCACUGGACUGAAACUGACACUGAGGCUCGAAAGUGUGGGUAUCAAACAGGAUUAGAUACCCUUGUAGUC
rnacentral:rRNA from 1 species